UGUGCCUAUACUGCAAGUCGAGCGGACAGAAGGGAGCUUGCUCCCGGAUGUUAGCGGCGGACGGGUGAGUAACACGUGGGUAACCUGCCUGUAAGACUGGGAUAACUCCGGGAAACCGGAGCUAAUACCGGAUAGUUCCUUGAACCGCAUGGUUCAAGGAUGAAAGACGGUUUCGGCUGUCACUUACAGAUGGACCCGCGGCGCAUUAGCUAGUUGGUGGGGUAAUGGCUCACCAAGGCGACGAUGCGUAGCCGACCUGAGAGGGUGAUCGGCCACACUGGGACUGAGACACGGCCCACACUCCUACGGGAGGCAGCAGUAGGGAAUCUUCCGCAAUGGACGAAAGUCUGACGGAGCAACGCCGCGUGAGUGAUGAAGGUUUUCGGAUCGUAAAGCUCUGUUGUUAGGGAAGAACAAGUGCGAGAGUAACUGCUCGCACCUUGACGGUACCUAACCAGAAAGCCACGGCUAACUACGUGCCAGCAGCCGCGGUAAUACGUAGGUGGCAAGCGUUGUCCGGAAUUAUUGGGCGUAAAGGGCUCGCAGGCGGUUUCUUAAGUCUGAUGUGAAAGCCCCCGGCUCAACCGGGGAGGGUCAUUGGAAACUGGGAAACUUGAGUGCAGAAGAGGAGAGUGGAAUUCCACGUGUAGCGGUGAAAUGCGUAGAGAUGUGGAGGAACACCAGUGGCGAAGGCGACUCUCUGGUCUGUAACUGACGCUGAGGAGCGAAAGCGUGGGGAGCGAACAGGAUUAGAUACCCUGGUAGUCCACGCCGUAAACGAUGAGUGCUAAGUGUUAUGGGGUUUCCGCCCCUUAGUGCUGCAGCUAACGCAUUAAGCACUCCGCCUGGGGAGUACGGUCGCAAGACUGAAACUCAAAGGAAUUGACGGGGGCCCGCNCAAACCGGUGGAGCAUGUGGUUUUAAUU
rnacentral:rRNA from 1 species